rnacentral:rRNA from 1 species
AACGAACGCUGGCGGCAGGCUUAACACAUGCAAGUCGAGCGCCCCGCAAGGGGAGCGGCAGACGGGCGAGUAACGCGUGGGAAUCUACCCAUCUCUACGGAAUAACGCAUGGAAACGUGUGCUAAUACCGUAUACGUCCUUCGGGAGAAAGAUUUAUCGGAGAUGGAUGAGCCCGCGUUGGAUUAGCGAGUUGGUGGGGUAAAGGCCUACCAAGGCGACGAUCCAUAGCUGGUCUGAGAGGAUGAUCAGCCACACUGGGACUGAGACACGGCCCAGACUCCUACGGGAGGCAGCAGUGGGGAAUAUUGGACAAUGGGCGCAAGCCUGAUCCAGCCAUGCCGCGUGAGUGAUGAAGGCCCUAGGGUUGUAAAGCUCUUUCACCGGUGAAGAUAAUGACGGUAACCGGAGAAGAAGCCCCGGCUAACUUCGUGCCAGCCGCCGCAGUAAUAC